GACAGAGGGGGCAAGCGUUGCUCGGAAUCACUGGGCGUAAAGGGCGCGUAGGCGGGAUGGCAAGUCGGUCGUGAAAUCUCUCGGCUCAACCGAGAAACGUCGGCCGAUACUGCCGUUCUUGAGGGAUGCAGAGGAGACUGGAAUUCCCGGUGUAGCGGUGAAAUGCGUAGAUAUCGUGAGGAAGACCAGUGGCGAAGGCGGAUCUCUGGACAGCUCCUGACGCUGAGGCGCGAAGGCUAGGGGAGCAAACGGG
rnacentral:rRNA from 1 species